rnacentral:rRNA from 1 species
UACGUAGGGGGCAAGCGUUGUCCGGAUUUAUUGGGCGUAAAGAGCUCGUAGGCGGCUCACUAAGUCGGAUGUGAAAACUCCAGGCUCAACCUGGAGACGCCAUUCGAUACUGGUGUGGCUUGAGUUCGGUAGGGGAGCACGGAAUUCCUGGUGUAGCGGUGAAAUGCGCAGAUAUCAGGAGGAACACCGGUGGCGAAGGCGGCUACCUGGACCAGCACUGACACUGAGGCACGAAAGCGUGGGGAGCAAACAGG